rnacentral:rRNA from 1 species
UGUUCUGGGCUACACACGUGCUACAAUGCCGGUACAGACGGACGCAAAGCCGCGAGGUGGAGCAAAUCCUAAAAAGCCGGUCUCAGUUCGGAUUGCAGGCUGCAAUUCGCCUGCAUGAAGUCGGAAUCGCUAGUAAUCGCAGGUCAGCAUACUGCGGUGAAUACGUUCCCGGGCCCUU